rnacentral:misc_RNA from 1 species
GAUGAAGAACGUAGCGAAAUGCGAUAAGUAAUGUGAAUUGCAGAAUUCAGUGAAUCAUCGAAUCUUUGAACGCACAUUGCGCCCCUUGGUAUUCCAUGGGGCAUGCCUGUUCGAGCGUCAUUUGUACCUUCAAGCUCUGCUUGGUGUUGGGUGUUUGUCUCGCCUCUGCGUGUAGACUCGCCUCAAAACAAUUGGCAGCCGGCGUAUUGAUUUCGGAGCGCAGUACAUCUCGCGCUUUGCACUCAUAACGACGACGUCCAAAAGUACAUUUUUACACUCUCGACCUCGGAUCAGGUAGGGAUACCCGCUGAACUUAAGCAUAUCAAUAAGCGGAGGA